rnacentral:rRNA from 1 species
AUUGAACGCUGGCGGCAGGCCUAACACAUGCAAGUCGAACGAGUGGCGGACGGGUGAGUAAUGUCUGGGAAACUGCCCGAUGGAGGGGGUUCACUACUGGACACGGUUGCUAAUACCGCCUACCUUCGGCUGGGACCACAUGGGAUUAGCUAGUGGGUGGGGUAACGGCUCACCCAGGCGACGAUCCCUAGCUGGUCUGAGAGGAUGAACAGCCACACUGGAACUGAGACACGUUCCAUACUCCUACGGGAGGCAGCAGUGGGGAAUAUUGCACAAUGGGCGCAAGCCUGAUGCAGCCAUGCCGCGUGUAUGAAGAAGGCCUUCGGGUUGUAAAGUACUUUCAGCGGGGAGGCGUUACCCGCAGAAGAAGCACCGGCUAACUCCGUGCCAGCAGCCGCGGUAAUAC